AACGAACGCUGGCGGCGUGCCUAACACAUGCAAGUCGAGCGAAUGAAGUUCCUUCGGGAAUGGAUUUAGCGGCGGACGGGUGAGUAACACGUGGGCAACCUGCCUCAUAGAGGGGAAUAGCCUUCCGAAAGGGAGAUUAAUACCGCAUAAGAUUGUAGUACCGCAUGAUACAGCAAUUAAAGGAGCAAUCCGCUAUGAGAUGGGCCCGCGGCGCAUUAGCUAGUUGGUGAGGUAACGGCUCACCAAGGCGACGAUGCGUAGCCGACCUGAGAGGGUGAUGGGCCACAUUUGGACUGAGACACGGCCCAGACCCCUACGGGAGGCAGCAGUGGGGAAUAUUGCACAAUGGGGGAAACCCUGAUGCAGCAACGCCGCGUGAGUGAUGACGGCCUUCGGGUUGUAAAGCUCUGUCUUCAGGGACGAUAAUGACGGUACCUGAGGAGGAAGCCACGGCUAACUACGUGCCAGCAGCCGCGGUAACAC
rnacentral:rRNA from 1 species